GGAUGAACGCUGGCGGCGUGCCUAACACAUGCAAGUCGAACGAAGCACUCGAAGCUUGCUUGGGUGACUAGUGGCGGACGGGUGAGUAAUGCGUGAGCAACCUGCCUUUCAGAGGGGGACAACAGUUGGAAACGACUGCUAAUACCGCAUAACGCAGCGGGGAGGCAUCUUCCUGCUGCCAAAGGAGCAAUCCGCUGAAAGAUGGGCUCACGUCUGAUUAGCUUGUUGGUGGGGUAACGGCUCACCAAGGCUGCGAUCAGUAGCCGGACUGAGAGGUUGAACGGCCACAUUGGGACUGAGAUACGGCCCAGACUCCUACGGGAGGCAGCAGUGGGGAAUAUUGGGCAAUGGGCGAAAGCCUGACCCAGCAACGCCGCGUGAAGGAAGAAGGUCUUCGGAUUGUAAACUUCUUUUAUGAGGGACGAAGGACGUGACGGUACCUCAUGAAUAAGCCACGGCUAACUACGUGCCAGCAGCGGC
rnacentral:rRNA from 1 species